rnacentral:lncRNA from 1 species
AAGUGUGACCAUGUCUUGUGAGUUAAUGAUCUGGCUUGUCUCCGUGGAGGCACUGGUUUGAUUCCCGGCCUGGCACAGUGGGUUAAGGCUCUGGCGUUGCUGCGGCUCUGGCUUGGAUUCGCUCUCUGGCCUAGGAACUUCCAUAUGCUUCACGGAGGCUGAAAAAGAGAAAAAAGAAGAAGAAAGCAAUUAGAAUUGUAACCUAAGUCAUCUGUACAUCUGGACCACCGUAUCAAUCCAGUCAAAUCCCUUUCUACUUCAUUCUAUAAAUUCACGGCUAAAUUAAUUUCCUACAGCGUGGCCUUGAUUGCGAGGCUCCUUUCUCAAAAAGCUUCCAUGACCCCCCCACCCGGACCCUCAUUGUCUCUUGAAUUACUUUCAGAUUCCUCUGCCACUCCAUUCAAGGUUCCUUUGUGACAAGUACCAGGAGGUUUUAAUUCGGGGAGGAAAGAAGAGAGGAAUUCAUUGGCCCUGCAAGCACAAUGAGCAGAGUAAGGAGAUAGCACACACAGCAGACACGACUCCAAAUGAAUUUUCUGUAGCCUGAUUGCGUGAUUACAGUGGCUUCCCUAUGCAAAUACUUUCAUGGUCCCCUCCUCCCCCACCCUUUGGUCUUCUCCUCUGGCCCUGCUGUUGCCCCUGGAGUUGCCUUCAGAUGACUCUAAUUUGGAGUUCAAGGCUCCUCAGGACUGGAUGGUCCAUUUCACUUUUCUGAUUAUUUGCUUGUUUUCUAGCCUUGCCCGUGGCAUGUGGAAGCUCCCCAGGCCAGGGAUGGAACCCAUGCCACAGCAGUGACCGAGCCUCUGCAGUAACAAUGCCUGGUCCUUAACCCACUUCGCCACAAGAGAAUUCCUUACUUUUCUGAUCUUUGAAAACUUUGCUUAGGUCAAGGUAGACUGUUGUCUUUUCCAAACACAACGAUACAUUUGACUCUUGUCCACCUGGAAUAUGCAUUUCUUCACCUGUUUCUGACCAAAUUGUGUCUGUUUUUAAAAGCCCGUCUUAUAUGCUAUGAAUUCUUUUCUUCUGUGAGAGAGACAGAGCGCUUCUGCUUUUUUUUUGGAUCUCUUUAUCUUGAGUAACAGUCUUCUUUGCAUUAUGUAGAUUGAUGCACUUGUUUUAAUUGCAUUUCUCGUACUGAGAAAGGAAACAUUUUUUUUUAAGCUGCCGUUUGUUGAGUCCUUACUCUGUGCCAGGCAGUGAGAGGCAUAUCGAAUUGUAAUUGCGAUGAGUCUGGAAGCAGACUGCUUGAGUUCCAAGCCCAGCACUGCCAGUUCCAGUUGCGUAACCCUAGACAAGUGGCCUCACCUCUCUGUGCUUAUUUCCUCAUAAAUGGCAACUUUCUUGUAGGGUCGUUGAGAACGUUUCAUGAGUUUUCUUCAUACCGAAGAAAAAAUUUAGGAUAGUGGUUGGCACAUAGUAAACACUCAAUAGUAACAGUUACUCUUUGCAAACAUCAUAAUAGUUCAUCCUAACAAAAGCCCUAUGAGGUUUAUAUUAUUCAUAUUUUCAAGAUGAAGAGAGUGAAACUCAAGGAAGUUAAGCAACUGGGCCAAGAUCAUGCAACUAAUAAUGUCAGAGCUGAAGUCUGGGGAUUUCUUGCUGUGGCUCAGCAGGUUAAGAACCCAGCUAGUAUCCAUGAGGAUGUGGGUUCAAUCCUUGGCCUUGCUCAGUGGAUUAAGGAUCCGGUGUCGCCAUGAGCUGUGGUGUAGGUCGCAGACUUGACUCCAGUCUAUUGUUGCUCUGGCUGUGGUAUAGGCUGGCAGCUGCAGCUCCAACUUGACCCCUAGCCUGGCAACUUCCAUGUUCUGGGAGUGCGGCCCUAAAAAGGCCAAAAAGUAAAUAAAUAAAUAAAUAAAUAGCAUGGUGCCAUGUACUCAGUAGGAGCUUAAUAAAUAUUUCUUGAAUUGAAAUGAUGAGUAUAAAAAAAAGCAUGUGGGAGUUCCUGCUUUGGCACAGUGUGUUAAGAAUCUGACUGCAGUGGCUUGGGUCACUGUAGAGGCAUGGGUUUGAUCCUGGGGCCUGGUGCAGUGAGUUCGAGGAUGCAGCAUUGCUACAGCUGCAGCAUAGGUCUCAGUUGUGGCUCAGAUUCAAUUCCUGGCUUGGGAACUUCCAUAUGCCACAGUGUGGCCAUAAAAAAGAAGAAAAAAAGCAUGCAUUUAUGAAUUCAUAUUUUGCCUCUGUUUCUUACUGAAAUUUAUGAAUUUCAAGACAUACUUAAAUCUUCCUAGUUUAGAUCUCCUCCUUUGUAAGAGGAAGGUAGUAUUCACUAUGCCAGAGAGGUAGGGGGGUAAAUGUGCAGAUGGAGUGAGCUAACCCACGUCAACUGCCUCAAGUAUGGAAAGUGCUUGGUGAGUAUGAGUUCCUUCCCUCACUUCCCUUAUUAUUGUCAUUCUUAAAUUAUGAUCAUUUUAUUAGUCCAGUUAAAAUAUGUGGGACAUGAUUCUGAUUAGAUCCGUUGCCUCAACCCUUCAAAACCAAAAUGUUGGUCAUUGUGACUCUAGUGAUGCCGUGAAACACGAGGGGGGCAGCCUUCUGUUAGCAGCCUUGCUUUAGAAGUUUGAAAAUAUCCUUCUUCAUUUCACUUUGCGUGUUGCUGGAAGUGCUCUUUGUUUGUUUGUUUUUUUAGGGCCACACCAGAAGCAUGUGAAGGUUCCCAGGCUAGGGGUUGAAUUGGAGCGGGAGCUGCUGCCCUACACCACAGCUCAUGGCAAUGCCGGAUCCUUAACCCACCGAGCGAGGCCAGGGAUCAAACCUGCAUCUUCAAGGAUGCUAGUCAGAUUCAUUUCCGCUGAGCCAUGACAGGAACUCCUGUUGCCUGAAGUUAUAUUGAGCCCAGAUUGGGUUGUGUUAGCCAGUAUCCUCUUUCAAAGUGCAGUCUUAUGGAAACUCUUAUAAAUGAAGUAGUUUAAGCGGAUUGUUUUUCUCUUGAGUUAGUUUAAAUCAGCAAGCAUUGAGGAGAAAGGAGCUUUGGUUUGGAAGAGGAAGCAUGAAGGAAAAGUAGUUUUUAAGCUAUCAGGAUUGAGUCAGCAGGAGCUAAGUAGCAUACGGGAGCAUGGGUAACUGGGGGCCUGUAAGAGAGAUGAGAGAUAAUUUACACUCAGAAAAACACCCAGAUCAGAUAAUUAUCCCUUAAAUGAUAUUUGACUGCAACACCAAGCUUCUUCCCCAGCCAAAUCUCAUGGGACAAAUCCCUUUAACAGAAUAUGUUCCUUCCUACAAUAGGAUCAUAAAGUAUUUGUGAUUAAAAUAUGCUGCUUUCUAAAAGUUCAGAACAACAUAAAGUCAGUGAUCAAUUGAUGCCUACUAGACUUCCAUUUUAUUUUCAGGAAGCUAAUAGAUAACAGUGGAAGAGUUUGGAUAAUUUCUUCUUCUUGUUGGAAUCCACCCAUUUUCUAACAAUUCUGUUAUUACACCCAUCUUCAAAUUUGAUCAAAAAGCUUCUGAUUUCAAAUGCCAAGUGCUAACCUUUUUAUGAGCCACUGGAGUCAGUGUUUCCCUCUUUGUGAUGUGCCUGUAGGUUGAACCAUAGGAAGGUCAGUGUCUGACUCUCUUUGAGGAUUCGAUCGAGUUGCAUGAGUCGUGUUGGCCUGCCGGGAUUGGGAGGUCAAAAUGCAGUUUGUUGAAAUAACAAGCCCCACAGUAACAGUUUUUACAAAUGCUCAUAACUUACCGUUCUCUUUUCAUCAUCAUCAUCAUCAACAUCAUUAUUAUUAUUAUUUCAUCUUUUUAGGGCUGCACCCAUGGAGGUUCCUAAGCUAGGGGUCAAAUUGGAGCUGUAGCUGCUGGCCUACGCCACAGCCACAGCAACUCAGGAUGCGAGCUGCGUCUACAACCUACACCACAGCUCAUGGCAAUGCCGGAUCCUUAACCCACUGAGCGAGGCCAGGGAUGGAACCUGCAUCCUUAAGGAUGCUAAUCAUGUUCGUUUCCACUGAGCCACAACAGAAACUCCACCAU